UUGAUCAAUUUCAUACCAAAACACAUGGUGAUGGUCCAUUUCACUGAUUAAUCUCAUAACACAUCACAUCUCAAGGCCCCUAGAGAUACCUUCCACAAGACCAUGUCAUCGUGUAGCACUUAGCCCCUGAGUGGUAUAUAUGAAAUUAUAUACAAGUUGUUUUAUUUUAACAAACUUUAUAUAAUUCAGAAAAUUCUCAUUAAAAUAAUUAUAAAUAUCAAUGGUCAAGUCCA
rnacentral:lncRNA from 1 species